CCCAGGUCAGGCGGGGCUACCCGCUGAAUUUAAGCAUAUCAAUAAGCGGAGGAAAAGAAACUUAYAAGGAUUCCCCUAGUAACGGCGAGCGAACCGGGAAUAG
rnacentral:rRNA from 1 species